rnacentral:lncRNA from 1 species
ACUUGACCUGCUGUGUGUGGAUCAGGGGUUACCUUUGGUACUGGAUGGUGGGAAUCUUGUUACGAGUUGUGAACUGACUCAUCUCACUUAAGGGGAGUGAUGUGCACAUGAGGCCAAAUUCAGACAGGCCUUUUGUUUGCACUACGUACAUCUGCAGGUAAUCAGAGGAAGAAGAUAGGUUCUUCAGUAUAAACUGCAAGCCGUGCUGCCUCAUCAGGAAAAAAACGAGACCAAAACUCUCUUCAAUCUAGUUCCGUAGUACGACAAGAACAGUGGUCACCUUGCCUGGUUUGUCCACGGCCUAACCGACGAGACGCGACUCCACGCGCGCAUGAGAGCCUCUUCAG